GUGCUCGCUUUGGCAGCGCCUAUACUAAAAUUGGAACAAUACAGAGAAAAUUAGCUUAUCGCUGUGCAAGGAUGACAUGCAAAUUCGUUACUGGCCUUU
rnacentral:snRNA from 1 species